CACAAACUCAAACGGUGCAAAGCUGUAAUCAACUAGCCAAAUAGAUAUGCACCCUAUUUAGUGAUUGUGUAUUUUUUUGUCAACAAGCGCUUUGAUACUAAUUUCAAGUUGCAGCUAAAAUAAAGUGACGUGAAUAGCCGACAAUUCUAUGCUCCCUCAGUUUUGCAACUUAGCAGAGUGCUAAACCGACGAAAUUGCGGAAUAAAAAUGGCGCCCCAACUUCGCAGCCACACCAAAAGCGUUGCAAAACUGCUGCUGCCGUCGAUAAGUCUAACGGCAUCAGAAUUGAGAUAGAUUCUGCGCAGGGGCCUACGUCGACUAAGAAAUUUGUGGAUCCGGCAAUCUAUAUCGCACGCGCCGACCGAGCGCUGCGUAAGACGCGUAGAAAAAUUCGCAGGAUCAUAAAUCUCAACAGAGAUGACUUUGGUGGCGCUACCAGCACCGCCGGCGGGUAUUCGACCCCAACAGAUUGUACAGCAGUACCAGUGGGUGAUCCAUUACCUUCCACCGAUUGCUCAUCGUCUCCCCGGUGUUCCUCGAACUGGUCAAUCAGUAGACCAGGAGACUGGAAUUCGUUUAUAUUAAUUUCAUCACCUGAAUGCAACUGCCGCUUCUAAAAUUCAGAAUCAACCCACCAUCCUCCUUCAUUGGUGAUUUCUUUGUUUCCUAUAUUUGAUAUGUAAUUUGUGUAACGGCAACAUUUGAAUGAUAAUAAAUAUGAAAAAUUUUAUAAAAUAAA